rnacentral:rRNA from 1 species
GAUGAACGCUGGCGGCGUGCCUAAUACAUGCAAGUCGAGCGAACAGACGAGGAGCUUGCUCCUCUGACGUUAGCGGCGGACGGGUGAGUAACACGUGGAUAACCUACCUAUAAGACUGGGAUAACUUCGGGAAACCUGAGCUAAUACCGGAUAAUAUAUUGAACCGCAUGGUUCAAUAGUGAAAGACGGUUUUGCUGUCCCUUAUAGAUGGAUCCGCGCCGCAUUAGCUAGUUGGUAAGGUAACGGCUUACCAAGGCAACGAUGCGUAGCCGACCUGAGAGGGUGAUCGGCCACACUGGAACUGAGACACGGUCCAGACUCCUACGGGAGGCAGCAGUAGGGAAUCUUCCGCAAUGGGCGAAAGCCUGACGGAGCAACGCCGCGUGAGUGAUGAAGGUCUUCGGAUCGUAAAACUCUGUUAUUAGGGAAGAACAAAUGUGUAAGUAACUAUGCACGUCUUGACGGUACCUAAUCAGAAAGCCACGGCUAACUACGUG